CGGACAGACACCACUUUGGGGCAGCCCCACACCUGCUGGAGAGGAUGGCCUGCACCUCCUGGUCUCCCCAACCCCAUCCAAGCCACGAGGUGGUUCACCUCUCCUCACCGUCCCCUCGUAUUUUCUGCAGUGCUGAUUAAUAACACUUAGCGCUUCCCAGCUCUGAGGCAGCUUGCGAGCAUUUCCUAAUUAAUCCUCGCAACAGCCUCCUCGGGGAAGGCAAUGUGCUACCGGCCUGACUUCCCAGCCCGCAGCCUUCUGGAGGGCAGCGCUGGAAAAAAAUCCCCCGCACCCCACCAGCCCCACGCUGCUGCUGCAGCACGAAGUGCACGGGCGUGAAGGGUCGGUCGGGAGAGGGUUCGCAGCCUUCCCAUGGAGACACGCUCCCUGUUGUCACCUCCUGAGGACAUUGCACGUGGGCGCUGCUUUAUCUUCGGGAAGACGGAGCCUGGGAAGGGGUUAAAAGGCAGACUUCCGCAGCUGCAACCUGGGAGCAAGAAGCAGAUCGUUUCUACCCAAAGCAAUUUCCCCGGUAGCUCAUUUUCCCUCCUCCCCGCCGCUGAUACGGCAGUUCACAGGGAAAGCUCUGCCUUUGUUUUGCUCCGUUUGGGAUUGAGGAUUGUUUUGACCGUCUGGACUGUCCCCAGGAGCGAACGCUGUGCUUCCUCCCAGGAAAAAGAUUGGCCUGGGGGUGUCCAGAAGGAAACUGGGCAGAGGACGAGGUGAAUUCCUGCAGGGAAAGCAGGCGUGGGACCUACCUGCGGCCCAGCAGAGAUCUGCCCUGGGAGAAGGGUGAGAGGCUGAGGCAGGCUGGGUGGGUUGAGUGGUGUGCACCCAAAAUGCAUCCUCCUAGGACCUGUAUGUGCUGGACUAGCUGGUGGCAUCCCGAUGAGCAGUGGCUCCCACUGGAAACCAGCUGGUGCAAAGCACAUCUGUGGUUUGGGGAGACCAAAACGUGCCAGGGUCUUCUAGCAGGGCAAAACCGCCUCCUUGCCCUGCUCAUUGGUGGCAGCUCCAGCUCAUCGCUGCGGUUCAGGGGCUGUUUUCUGAAAGCACACAUCCAUGGCGCUGGUGGCACUUCCAAGGGUGGGCAUGAAACCAUGUUCAUCUCCAGGCUCCUUUGAUAUGCGCUGCUUGCAAGUCUG
rnacentral:lncRNA from 1 species